rnacentral:rRNA from 1 species
AGUGAACGCUGGCGGUAGGCCUAACACAUGCAAGUCGAACGGCCGCACAGUAAGAGCUUGCUCUUAUAGGUGGCGAGUGGCGGACGGGUGAGGAAUACAUCGGAAUCUGCUUUUUCGUGGGGGAUAACGUAGGGAAACUUACGCUAAUACCGCAUACGACCUACGGGUGAAAGCAGGGGAUCUUCGGACCUUGCGCGAUUGAAUGAGCCGAUGUCGGAUUAGCUAGUUGGCGGGGUAAAGGCCCACCAAGGCGACGAUCCGUAGCUGGUCUGUGAGGAUGAUCAGCCACACUGGAACUGAGACACCGUCCAGACUCCUACGGGAGGCAGCAGUGGGGAAUAUUGGACAAUGGUCGCAAGCCUGAUCCAGCCAUACCGCGUGGGUGAAGAAGGCCUUCGGGUUGUAAAGCCCUUUUGUUGGGAAAGAAAAGCAGCAGGUUAAUACCCCGCUGUGCUGACGGUACCCAAAGAAUAAGCACCGGCUAACUUCGUG